rnacentral:rRNA from 1 species
GACGAACGCUGGCGGCGUGCUUAACACAUGCCAGUCGAACGGAAAGGCCCUGCUUGCAGGGUACUCGAGUGGCGAACGGGUGAGUAACACGUGGGUGAUCUGCCCUGCACUUCGGGAUAAGCCUGGGAAACUGGGUCUAAUACCGGAUAGGAGCCAUUUUUAGUGUGAUGGUUGGAGAGUUUUUUCGGUGUGGGAUGAGCUUGCGGCCGAUCAGCUUGUUGGUGGGGUAAUGGCCUACCAAGGCGGGGACGGGUAGCCGGCCUGAGAGGGUGGACGGCCGACGUGGGACUGAGAGACGGCCCAGACGCCUACGGGGGGCAGUAGGGGGGAAGAUUGCACAAGGGGCGCAAGCCCGAUGCAGCGACGCCGCGGGGGGGAGGACGGCCUUCGGGUUGUAAACUCCGUUCGCUAGGGACGAAGCUUUUUGUGACGGUACCUAGAUAAGAAGCACCGGCUAACUACGUG